UAGGGAAUAUUGGACAAUGGGGGCAACCCUGAUCCAGCCAUGCCGCGUGAGUGGAGAAGGCCCUCGGGUUGUAAAGCUCUUUUGUCCGGAAAGAAAAGCUUCGGGUUAAUACCCCGGGGUUCUGACGGUACCGGAAGAAUAAGCACCGGCUAACUCCGUGCCAGCAGCCGCGGUAAUACAGAGGGUGCGAGCGUUAUCCGGAUUUACUGGGUUUAAAGGGUGCGUAGGUGGGCUUAUAAGUCAGUGGUGAAAUCUCCGAGCUUAACUUGGAAACUGCCGUUGAUACUAUAGGUCUUGAAUUAUCUGGAGGUAAGCGGAAUAUGUCAUGUAGCGGUGAAAUGCUUAGAUAUGACAUAGAACACCAAUUGCGAAGGCAGCUUACUACAUAUAAAUUGACGCUGAGGCACGAAAGCGUGGGGAUCAAACA
rnacentral:rRNA from 1 species